rnacentral:rRNA from 1 species
CCUACGGGCGGCAGCAGUGAGGAAUAUUGGUCAAUGGACGAGAGUCUGAACCAGCCAAGUAGCGUGAAGGAUGACUGCCCUAUGGGUUGUAAACUUCUUUUAUAUGGGAAUAAAAUGUUCCACGUGUGGGAUUUUGUAUGUACCAUAUGAAUAAGGAUCGGCUAACUCCGUGCCAGCAGCCGCGGUAAUACGGAGGAUCCGAGCGUUAUCCGGAUUUAUUGGGUUUAAAGGGAGCGUAGGUGGAUUGUUAAGUCAGUUGUGAAAGUUUGCGGCUCAACCGUAAAAUUGCAGUUGAAACUGGCAGUCUUGAGUACAGUAGAGGUGGGCGGAAUUCGUGGUGUAGCGGUGAAAUGCUUAGAUAUCACGAAGAACUCCGAUUGCGAAGGCAGUUCACUGGACUGCAACUGACACUGAGGCUCGAAAGUGUGGGUAUCAAACAGGAUUAGAUACCCCUGUAGUG